rnacentral:rRNA from 1 species
UACGUAGGGUGCGAGCGUUGUCCGGAAUUAUUGGGCGUAAAGGGCUCGUAGGCGGUCUGUCACGUCGGGAGUGGAAACUCGGGGCUUAACCCCGAGCCUGCUUCCGAUACGGGCAGACUAGAGGUAUGCAGGGGAGAACGGAAUUCCUGGUGUAGCGGUGAAAUGCGUAGAUAUCGAGAGGAACACCUGCGGCGAAGGCGGGUUGCUGGGCCGACACUGACGCUGAUGCGCGAAAGCCAGGGGAGCGAACGGG